GACCUUUUAAAAAGGCUCUACCCGUGUAUACUCCUUUUAGAGUAGCUGAAGGAAGUCAUGGAAGCUAGCGAGCCCUUCAAAUUUUUCCCUGUCUGGUUUAAUCCAUGCGCAUGUUUUGCUCCCUAAAAUAGUGAUCCUGACAAUAAUCCUACAGGCAUGGAGCGAUCUGCUUUUUACAGGGCCCUCGCUCCUGCCUUCUAACGCUGCUGGUUUUGUCCCCAUUUUAUAGAUGAUGAGGAACCGAAGCUCAGAGGAGUUGGGGGUCUCGUCCAGAGCCCCGGAGAGUCAGAACCAGAACUAGAACUCAGGCCCCCAGAAUCCAAAAGCUCUUUCUACUACUCUGUUGCUAGGCAACCCUUCUCCCUUUCGAUUCUUGUGCCAAUGCUACUUGUUGCCAUGGUACUGCUGGGACAAGGAGCAGUACAUUGUAAUUAAGCAGCGAGCUAGAAUCUUGGCUCCUUGCAGAAAGGGGUCUUUAUGCCCCAAGUAUGGGUGGCCGGAGAGGGGCAAUUGGAUGGGACUGGUCAGUUAUCAUGUAAGUUUUGUGGGGGGCAGAUGUCUGUCUUCACCUCUAUCCACUUGAAGCCACACGUGCCCAGGGAUGCCUGGGCAGGAGUGCCGUGUUGUCACGAAUCAGCGUCUAAGUUCAGUGUGUGCUUCAGUCUAGGAGGACUAGGGGUGUCCCUGGUCAGCAGCACCAUGCUGGCAUCGGACCUGAGUUCAAAUCCUCCCAUGAGGAAUCGCUUUCGAAUUCUGUUGAGUCUGGAUGGAUUCAAGGGCAUGAAGUUCAGCACAAUCAUCCUCGUAUUUCACUUUGGCUGGAUGGACGCUCAGUUCUUGUCUCCUUCCUGGAGCUCCUAGUCCAGAAUAAGGCAUGGAAAUACCAAGUCAAAGAACAGUCUGGUAAAGACCACACCUGCCCUGCCUCUUUGCAUACACAGGUGAUGAACAUUUAUACUAGAAAUGCUGUGUAGACUAUUUAUCUGCCUAUUUUGGAGGUGGAUCUGAUAUGGUCAUGUGAUCACAGGUACCACCUGUUGGGGAGACAAGACUCAUAAUUAAUCCAUGUUUGGUGGACAAGUGAGAAAAAUGGGGCAUUGUUGAGAGAGGGAACUGAUUAUAGUCCUUAUGCCUCACCCAUCUGGCUGUAUUAAAACACUUGCACGCCCCAACAUAUGGUUACUAGCUUGAGAGGAGGGAGAGGAUUACAAGAUACAAAUGAUAAAUGGACUCCACGGCUUCCCUCUGUGGCCAAUAUGGGAGGAGCCAAAUGUUUAAAUUUUCUUAAAAAUGUUCUUGGAGAAAAGGGUCUUUUACCUUUAGUCCCAAUUUUGUCAUUGGGACAUUUGAGGCUUUUGUCGAACAUGCUGCUUCUUUAUUCCCUUAAACAAGAAUCAUAAAUAUUUCUAUCCAUUUGCCUUUUUUCUUUUUUUUUCCUUAAAGAUUAUUUUUAGGUAAUCUCUACACCCAAUGUGGGGCUUGAACUCACAACCCUGAGAUGAAGAGUCACU
rnacentral:lncRNA from 1 species